rnacentral:lncRNA from 1 species
AUGGAGGGCUUUGAUAACCCAUGGGCAGCUGAUGAAAAUGGAAGUCUGAGCAGCUUAAAGAAACCAGAGCACAUGAAUAAUGGGAGAACUGAGAUGAUGUCAUUUGACAACCUGGAAGGCACCAGAGGGGAUGAUCCUGGAAAAAAUGAAAUUCAGGCCUCUGGAAAAAACAAAUACCUGGAGACAGUGCUGCUGGAUUACAAGGGUGAAAGUGAGCAAAAGGGAGCACCUGAAAAAGCUGCUGAAAGUAGAAAUGUGGACGUCCAGCCCACUGUGGGAUUCACAACAAAACAGGAUUCCUUUCCCACAAACACGAACCAGAAGCCAGCCCUGUCCUUAACACCUCAUCCCACAUUGCCUGCCCCCGAAAAAGAACUGAAAGGAGUAAAAUUUUCAGAGGUGGCAGUGAUUUUGGACGCAGACGAUGGAGACGAUGAAUCUGGAGAUGAUGAAUCUGAGGAUGAUGAAUCUGGCGAUGAUGUAUCACUCUGAUAAGAACACUCGAUGAAGAAAAUAUUUACAAAAAACACAAUGAGACUCAUUGGAACAGCUCAGAAUGAGCACUAAGAAUAUGGGAAUGUUAUCCAGAUUUUAAUUCUGCUGCUGUUGUAAGGGUGGAUAAGGCAGAGAACUAGCAAUAUGCGGGAAGGGCUGCAGUGCUGUGCUGCAGGGCUGCUUCCCCAGCAGCAGCAGCGCUGUCUCACGGCGUAUUUCAUUUAUUUCGGCACGUGUCAAACGGGCAAGACAAUAAACCCGAUUCCAGAGGCGUUGCCUUGUCAUUGCUUCAGACGGAGUAAUUUUGGGAACAGCAAUUAUUCUGUUGUUUUGCGCAGAGGCGUCCGCCGCAGUCUUACAAAACGAGAAUCUGUUUUCUAAUUCUCCUGUUUUCGGAUUUUUUUUUGGU